rnacentral:lncRNA from 1 species
GAGCGCUGAAAGGGCUAGUGAAGCUGCAAGCAUUGGUGAGGGGACACAACGUGAGGAAGCAAGCCAAGACCACAUUGCGAUGUAUGCAAGCUCUGGUUCGAGUCCAAGCUCGAAUCCUUGAUCAACGGAUGCGCCUUUCCCACGAUGGCUACACCCGCAAAUCCACAUUCAGUGACACCACCAGCCUCAUUGAGUCCCUCUACUUGCAAGACCUCUCCGACCGAAAAUCUAUGGUAUCUAUCUAACCUAAUUUUAGUGUAAGAAAAUUGUUCAAUAGAGAUGGAAACAUUACCUGUCAUUGAUCUCAUAUUGGGAUUUAUUUAACAGCAGUCUAGAGAAGGAUGCAGCAAUGCAGACGAUUGGGACGAAAGGCCACACUCGAUUGAGGAAGUCAAAGCUAUGUUGCAGCAAAGGAAAGAUCAUG